rnacentral:rRNA from 1 species
CCUACGGGGGGCAGCAGUGAGGAAUAUUGGUCAAUGGCCGUCAGUCUGAACCAGCCAAGUCGCGUGAAGGAAGAAGGAUCUAUGGUUUGUAAACUUCUUUUAUAGAGGAAUAAAGGUAUGCACGUGUGCAUAUUUGCAUGUACCCUAUGAAUAAGCAUCGGCUAACUCCGUGCCAGCAGCCGCGGUAAUACGGAGGAUGCGAGCGUUAUCCGGAUUUAUUGGGUUUAAAGGGGGCGUAGGUGGUUUGUUAAGUCAGUUGUGAAAGUUUGUGGCUCAACCAUAAAAUUGCUGUUGAUACUGGAAGUCUUGAGUACAGUUGAGGUAGGCGGAAUUCGUGGUGUAGCGGUGAAAUGCAUAGAUAUCACGAAGAACUCCGAUUGCGAAGGCAGCUUACUAAGCUAUAACUGACAUUGAAGCUCGAAAGCGUGGGUAUCAAACAGGAUUAGAUACCCCGGUAGUC